CCUACGGGAGGCAGCAGGGGGGAAUAUUGGACAAUGGGGGCAACCCUGAUCCAGCCAUGCCGCGUGUGUGAAGAAGGCCCUCGGGUUGUAAAGCACUUUCAGUGAGGAAGAACGCCUGGUGGUUAAUACCCAUCAGGAAAGACAUCACUCACAGAAGAAGCACCGGCUAACUCCGUGCCAGCAGCCGCGGUAAUACGGAGGGUGCGAGCGUUAAUCGGAAUUACUGGGCGUAAAGCGCGCGUAGGUGGCUUGAUAAGCCGGUUGUGAAAGCCCCGGGCUCAACCUGGGAACGGCAUCCGGAACUGUCAAGCUAGAGUGCAGGAGAGGAAGGUAGAAUUCCCGGUGUAGCGGUGAAAUGCGUAGAGAUCGGGAGGAAUACCAGUGGCGAAGGCGGCCUUCUGGACUGACACUGACACUGAGGUGCGAAAGCGUGGGUAGCAAACAGGAUUAGAUACCCUGGUAGUC
rnacentral:rRNA from 1 species